AUCUUCUUUGGAUAAGCUGGGGGCUUAUGGAUUAUAAGUUAGGGAUGGUAGGGGGUCGAUUAACUUAAAUGUUUGGUAAUAAUAAGAAUCAGAUUAUGUUUCUUCUUUCAUUUUUCUCUUUUAUAUUUGACUUUUUUUUUGGAGAGUUAUGUUUCUGUUCCUUGUUAUUUCUUUCAUAUUUUCUCCUAGGAUCUGUUGAUUCAGGUUCUUCUUUUUCCUUUCCUCUGGUACUCCGUGAUUCUUAUGUUGGGUCGGAUUAUUUUCGUCAAUCCUCAAUCUUCUGUUUUUCUAUCUAGAUUCUCUAUUUCUUCUAAAUCCACUCUCUUUAUCUGUGAAGUUUUCUCUUGUCUUAAUCUAUCUUUUUGUUAUAGUUGUGGUUGAUCUCAUACUCUUUUCUUAUUUUAGUUUUUUUUUUUCCUUUUUUCUUUUUCUGGCUGUUUUCUUUGCUUCUCUCUUGGUCUAAAUCAGUUUUGAAUCUAAAACUUGGUCUAUCUCUUAGAUCUGUUGAAGGAAAAUUUUAUUUGGUUUUAUUAAAAGUUUUCAAAUGAUAAAUCUUUGUUUCCUUUUUUCUCUGAUCGUUUCUUAUAGUUUUAUAUGAUUACCAAAAUGGUAACCUCCAUGAUUAUUAUGUAUGUUUCCGAUCUUCAACUCUGCCUUUCUUCUUUUCUUCUGGCUUUUCUGAUUUUCUAAAAUUUGCCUCUUAAUCUGUUUGUCCCUUUUCUUAUAUCUGCUUGUUUUUGAACCGAAAAAAUUAAAAUUAAAAUGGAGGGUCUCUUUAAAAGUUGUCUAUCUAUCUCUUUGCCUUCUCUUUUUUAUGGGUGUCUUUCUUUUCCUCUUUAUUGAUCCUAUUUUAUUUUUCUUGAGAACUGUGAUGGUGGUUUUAUCUUGGCUUGUCUUCUUUUGAGAUUGUCUUCUUGGAAGGUCUCAAAUCAAAAUUUUUGUUAUGUUAUUUUGGGAAUGAAUCCAAUUUUUGUUGUCUUAUUUUUAAAUUACUGGUUUGUUCUUGCUUUUCGUCUUCCUCUUUUUUUUUUGUAUCAAAUUCACUUAUCUUUCCUGAAUGAAAAUAAAUAAAUAAAUAAUCCCCUAGACCCUGACCCUAACUCCGCUGAUCCUAAAACAACCCUCAGGCAAGUCCUUUCUUCACCACUUUCUUUGCUUUUAUCUUCUAAUCUCUAGUCUCCUGGCUAUUUUUUUGCGAAUUAUUUUUUAGCGCAGGGGUUUGCUUCCGGAACAGUGUUCGUCCAAGCACAAUGGAAUAAUAAAUUUAUGAGUCUCCAUUUGGUUUGGUUUGGCUAUACGGGGGAAAAUGAAAGCUCCUGUGAAACAACAUGAUGCUGAAAUCAAUACUGGUCGUGUUAUAUUUGGUGGUAUUUUCUCAAAGAUACAACUCUCACCAAUAAAAUCUUUGAUUGUGGAAAAGGUUAAACCGUCAUCCUCAAUCAUUAAGAAGAUAUCUCUUUCCUGUACAUGCUGCAGUGACACUUUUAUCAGACUUGCUCGUGAUAGAAGAGCUCAGGAAUCCAUCUUGAUAGUUUUAUCACACCUUCACAACUUGCUUGUGGAUCCUUACUGCCAGUAUUAGAAGACUAGUCAUUGGGUAACGAUGGAGAACGAAUGCUUCCUAUGUUAUUGAAGAAUUACAAAUGGUUUGGUUAUCUUUGUAUUUUUGGUUUUAGGAUCUUGUCUAGGACUCAUCGCGUUGUGCUCUUUUCCUUUGUCAAGAUUUUAUCCCUUUGGAUUUGGGUUUUCCUUGACAAGGUUUUUAGCGAGGCAACAUAUGCGUGUCCAACACCUUUCGGUGGUUUUCACAUUUACCUUCUAUUUUUCAUUUUUUAUUUUUCAUAUAUUUCCUUUAAUUUGUUAGCCGCAAUAGAUGGUUAUAAGACCAAUGUAACCACGGCUGCUAACGCCAUAAGUUAGUCUUUUUAAUGUAAUACCUAAUUCA